rnacentral:rRNA from 1 species
AAGCUCGUAGUUGAAUUUCGGGGUUAGUAGGUUGGUCAUGCCUCUGGUAUGUACUGGUCUCACUGAUUCCUCCUUCCUUAUGAACCGUAAUGCCAUUAAUUUGGUGUUGCGGGGAAUUUGGACUGUUACUUUGAAAAAAUUAGAGUGUUUAAAGCAAGCUAACGCUUGAAUACAUUAGCAUGGAAUAAUGAAAUAGGACGUUCGAUCUUAUUUUGUUGGUUUUCUUAGGAUUGACGUAAUGAUUAAUAGGGAUAGUUGGG